GAUGAACGCUGGCGGCGUGCCUAAUACAUGCAGGUCGAGCGAACAGAUGAGGAGCUUGCUCCUCUGACGUUAGCGGCGGACGGGUGAGUAACACGUGGAUAACCUACCUAUAAGACUGGGAUAACUUCGGGAAACCGGAGCUAAUACCGGAUAAUAUAUUUAACCGCAUGGUUCAAUAGUGAAAGACGGUUUUGCUGUCACUUAUAGAUGGAUCCGCGCCGCAUUAGCUAGUUGGUAAGGUAACGGCUUACCAAGGCAACGAUGCGUAGCCGACCUGAGAGGGUGAUCGGCCACACUGGAACUGAGACACGGUCCAGACUCCUACGGGAGGCAGCAGUAGGGAAUCUUCCGCAAUGGGCGAAAGCCUGACGGAGCAACGCCGCGUGAGUGAUGAAGGUCUUCGGAUCGUAAAACUCUGUUAUUAGGGAAGAACAAAUGUGUAAGUAACUAUGCACGUAUUGACGGUACCUAAUCAGAAAGCCACGGCUAACUACGUG
rnacentral:rRNA from 1 species